GCUUUACACAUGCAAGUCGAACGAUGAAGUCUAGCUUGCUAGACGGAUUAGUGGCGAACGGGUGAGUAAUAUAUCGGAACGUAUCCAAUAAUGGGGGAUAACUAAUCGAAAGGUUGGCUAAUACCGCAUACGCCCUGAGGGGGAAAGCUAGGGAUCUUCGGACCUGGCGUUAAUGGAGCGGCCGAUAUCUGAUUAGCUAGUUGGUGAGGUAAAGGCUCACCAAGGCGACGAUCAGUAGCUGGUCUGAGAGGACGACCAGCCACACUGGAACUGAGACACGGUCCAGACUCCUACGGGAGGCAGCAGUGGGGAAUUUUGGACAAUGGGCGAAAGCCUGAUCCAGCCAUUCCGCGUGAGUGAAGAAGGCCUUCGGGUUGUAAAGCUCUUUCGCAAGGGAAGAAAACUUAGGCUCGUAACAUAGUCUGAGGCUGACGGUACCUUGAUAAGAAGCACCGGCUAACUACGUGCCAGCAGCCGCGGUAAUACGUAGGGUGCGAGCGUUAAUCG
rnacentral:rRNA from 1 species